rnacentral:rRNA from 1 species
GAUGAACGCUGGCGGCGUGCCUAAUACAUGCAAGUCGAACGCAUAGCGAAAGGUGCUUGCACCUUUCAAUUGACUGGCGAACGGGUGAGUAACACGUGGACAACCUGCCUCAAGGCUGGGGAUAACAUUUGGAAACAGAUGCUAAUACCGAAUAAAACUUAGAGUCCCAUGAUACAAAUUGAAAAAUCGCUUCGCCGUCACCUAGAGAUGUAUCCGCGGUGCAUUAGUUAGUUGGUGGGGUAAAGGCCUACCAAGACAAUGAUGCAUAGCCGAGUUGAGAGACUGAUCGGCCCAAUUGGAACUGAGAAACGGCCCAAACUCCUACGGGAGGCUGCAGAAGGGAAUCUUCGACAAUGGGCGAAGGCCUGAUGGAGCAACGCCGCGUGUGUGAUGAAGGCUUUCGGGUCGUAAAGCACUGUUGUAUGGGAAGAACAGCUAGAAUAGGAAAUGAUUUUAGUUUGACGGUACCAUACCAGAAAGGGACGGCUAACUACGUG